GGGGGCGUAAUGGUUUCGACGGGGAUAAAAAAAUGUGAUAAGCGAGUAGAGGAGAUGCCAGCUCUAUAAAAGGCAUGCUUAAAUUUUAAAUGCAGAAAAUACUAGAAAUAUAGGCUUCGUUAGAAACAAUCGCGAGGUCCUUAGAGCGGCUUAAUUAAAUUAAUAGCCGGGCUUUUGCUUGGGUUUUGCUGCAAACCAAGUGAAGCUAUAUCGAUUUAGCAGCGGACAGCUCAUUGAAUUUCUCAAGUCUUUGAGCGGUGAUUUUUGAGAUACUUAAGCUUUGCGGUUUGCUUGUUGUCUGUUUGGCUUGGGGAACGCUUUUAACAACUAAGAUACACUCGUAGAAAGUCAUGUGGAUUUGUUUUCGGACAGGGGUUCGACUCCCCUCGCCUCCACCA
rnacentral:tmRNA from 1 species